GGUCCUGAAUAACAUCCCUGACAUGAGUCAACCACUAGCUCUUGGAGUCUCCCACUCUAGGGAACAUAUAUUAAAGCCUCUCUCAUCAGGAUUGGCUUAGGAAGUAAGUCUUCCCACCACUCCCCAGAGGAGGAAAGGUGAAGAGGAUCCUUACUUUUUCCCAGAAGAAGCCUGGAAAGAAGUCAGUAUGAAGAGAUGUUCAACAACCAGAGACCUAACAUUUCCUGCAUCCCCAAAGCCAUGAUGCCAAGCAUGAGUUCAACUGAGUUCAAGAUGGAAAAGACUGAAAAAACAGAAUAGCCAAGGUUAUGUUUUCUGCCAUGAGAAUUAAGAUUAUCUUCAAUUACAGAAAAAUAUAGCUAUUCUUUUUGGCCUGCUAGAGGUCAUGGCCUGAAAAUAGAAUGCCCACAACUCAAGCUAGCAAGAUGCCAUCUCUGCCUCUGCACAGCUCUUGCAGCUCCCCACAGCUCUCUGUUCUUUCCUCACCCAUCUCCUCUAACCCACCAUGCAAAUAACCCCUCAUCUGCUUGCCAGCCACCAGCCAUUCCUGCCUUGCCUGCAGCCCUCCAGAACCUACUGCUUAAGUGACCACCUACCACCUAGAAACCAGGCAGAAUUUGAAUCCCACAUGGGGAUAGGUCCUAGUUUCCGACUUGCAAUGAUAUGAAAGAAACAACUAAAUACUGUAAAUGGUAUCUGGGCCUAUGCCAGGAUCCACAUGCACGCCUUCAGCAUGGCCAUCAAUGUGAUUUCUAAUUCUAUGCAUUUUGAGUACUUCCUCCUUUCAAAUAGA